GAACGACCGAGUUUCUCUCAGCCGAGAACUGUGGCUGCCCCUCCGGUGAAAACAGAGGAAGUGGGAGCGGCAGGAAGCGCUUUGGGACCAGGGCGACCCCUGAAGCGUAGAGGAACCAGGUCACAAGCAUACGUGAAUGCUCACAUUCCAUAGUUAUCAAAUGUAUUCAGGUUUAAAUUUUACUUUUCUAGAAAAAAUGUAAAUAAUCCGUUGAGAAUAUUUAAUGAAAAAUGUUGGUCGUAUCUUUAUCUGGUCUGCGGCUCUGUCCCUGUUUCCUGGAUAGGAGACUACGUCUGUAUCUUGUAUCACAGGAGGCACCUUCUUCCUGUUUCCUGGCACAGACUUGAAAUCUUAGUGCUCCUCACUCUUUGCGUCUACGCUGCUUUUAUGAACUGUUAACACUCACUGUGAAGGUCUGCAGCUUCACUCCUUAAGCCAGCGAGACCACAAACCCACUGGGAGGGAUAAACAACUCCAGACGGGAGGAACAAACAACUUCGGGUGCACCACCUUUAUGAACUGUAGCACUCACUGUGAAGGUCUGCAGCUUCACUCCUGAGGCCAGCAAGACCACGAACCCACCAGAAGGAACGAACAACUCCAGAUAUGCCACCUUUAAGGGCUAUAACACUCACCGCGGAAGUCUGCAGCUUCACUCCUGAAGUCAGUGAGACCAUGAACCCACCAGAAGGAAGAAACUCUGGACACAUCUGAACAUCUGAAGGAACAAACUCUGGACACACCAUCUUUAAGAACUGUAACACUCACCGCGAGGGUACACGGCUUCAUUCUUGAAGUCAGCGAGACUAAGAACCCAACAAUUCCGGACACAGCAUGAUCUUGGUUCACUAUAUUUCUGGUCUUUAAAGACACUUGGAAAAGACA
rnacentral:lncRNA from 1 species